UACGUAGGUGGCAAGCGUUGUCCGGAUUUACUGGGUGUAAAGGGCGUGUAGCCGGGCUGACAAGUCAGAUGUGAAAUCCGGGGGCUCAACCCCCGAACUGCAUUUGAAACUGUUGGUCUUGAGUAUCGGAGAGGCAGGCGGAAUUCCUAGUGUAGCGGUGAAAUGCGUAGAUAUAUGGAGGAACACCGGUGGCGAAAGCGGCUCUCUGGCCUGUAACUGACACUGAGGCUCGAAAGCGUGGGGAGCAAACAGG
rnacentral:rRNA from 1 species